GAGGAAGGGAGUGGGGUGGAGGCAGGGGCAGGAGUUGGAGUGAAUAUGGCCCCACAACCCACCCCAGGACUCCAUUCACCCUAGCCCCUGCCCUUGCCUCUGCCCUACUCCUUCCCUC
rfam:Alligator sinensis unplaced genomic scaffold scaffold596_1, whole genome shotgun sequence